rnacentral:rRNA from 1 species
CCUGCGGAAGGAUCAUUAGAAAUGGCGGGGGAAGACUUGCUCUUCUCCCCAAAUCUCUAUUCUGUGCACUGUUUUUGUGUGCUGGGCUAGUUUCGGCUGGGUCAGCACGGGGUGGAGCUUUGGAAACUGUUUGCUAUGAAUUUUCCCCCGGGAAAGUUCCGCUGGAAACUUUUGACAUCUCCGCCGAAAUUUAAUACUAAUACUGACUGACCAUGAAAAAGUUAAUAUAACAACUUUCAGCAAUGGAUCUCUCGGCUUUCGUAUCGAUGAAGAACGCAGCGAAUCGCGAUAUGUAGUGUGAUCUGCCUCUAGUGAAUCAUCAAAUCUUUGAACGCAUCUUGCACCCUUUGGUAUUCCAAAGGGUACGCCUGUUUCAGUAUCAUUAUAACCUUUCUCCCCAAGGCUUUUUGGCCAAGGAGGGAAAGAGCAUAACCGGUGGCCCAGCGGUCUCCCUUCAGGGGGAUUGUCUCGGCUGGAAUGACUGUUGCAAUGGUGGGCCAAAUGGUCUUCCGCACUUGAUAAAUGUACUUUUAUAAAGAGCGGGGCCGGUCUGCCGAAAGUUGUAACUAAACCCUUUACCUUUGAUCUGAAAUCAGGCGGGAUUACCCGCUGAACUUAAGCAUAUCAA